ACUGGCGAAGCAAGCUCCUGGUCCCUCCCUCUCUCGGCCUCCUGCCGCCGCUACAGGAGGCCAAGCGGGCUGGGUCCAGCGCAUCUCUCUCAGCCCAGAGUUCAGAACCCAGAACUUCAUUCCACCUGCGGCUGCACUCCCCACAGCGGACCCAGAGGACGGCGGUGGAGGGGGAAAAACAAAAAACUCACAUUUAUACAUGGGAAGACUGUUGAUUCAGAGGAAAGCGGCAACCUGUGGCAGUUUGCUGGAGGCAACCUGAAGGAGUUUCCUGAAUGGCUCAAAUGAAGCUUGACAUUAUUAAUAACCUGGGAUCCAGCCUGUGGCCUUCCUCCUAGUGCUUUCAUGAAAUCAGCAUAACUGCUGGCAAAGCCCUUUAUUGCCAUCGCAAUUAACGACAGCUCUUUCUGUGGCAUCUCAGGAAGCAGACCUGGACUCCAAAGCCCACGUGGAACAGCGAGCACCUCCACAGCCAGGCCUGGUGGGGCUGCUGCGCCCUCUGCUGGAAGAGUCUGGGAGCAGCUCUAGUUCAUCUCCGCUUCCCUCUGGGCAGGGUCCACAGGGUACUCUCUGACUUGAACUUUGUUGUCAUUGGCUGUGGGGUUCCCUUAAUUGUGAGUGAACAAAAGUGAGAAAGGAUCCCCUUGCUCUAGGCAUAAGGGCUGGGUGCCUGGGGUGUGGGGUGGGGACAAGUCUGAAGUCAGAGAAGGAGACAGGAGCAGGGGAGGGGCCGUGCCUGCUGGGAGAUUUAGGGUGCAGGGUACAUUCUGAGACACAGAGUAUUGUCAGAGUUGGGACUAGGAGUCAGAGUGAGUCUAGGGUAGAAAUAAGAGUGCGAGUGAGGCAGGCCAGGGCUGGAUGAGGGGAGGGCGCAAGGAGGGAGCACCACAGGGCUAGGCACCAGGUAGCAGCUAGGUGUUACACAGGUAGGAGAGCAAGGUUGGCUCCCUUGAGGCUAAAGCAACUUUUUAAGUGACAUUCCUGGGGUGUGACUGAGUCCUGGAGCCUCAGGAGGAGGCACUGGAGCAGGGCUGGGUGGGGCUGGGCAGGGCUGUCACAGGAGGUCUGCUUUCUGGCGAGGCCUGCGUGGCUGAUGUCCCCUUUCUGGGUGUAUGGGGGACACAGAGCCAGCUGCUGUUUAACCACUCGAGGCUGAUGCCCCCGCUCUCCUUCCCAGCUCCCUCAGACCCGGGACUCCCACAGUUAUCUGCUUUGUGCCAGAUCUUGUUCUUCACCCCCCUGAAGACAAGCCCAUGUACUUUUUGCUAAGAUUUAGUAUCUAUUUAUUUUUCUGUAACUUAUAAAGCAAUAACACUGUCAUCUUGGUUGUCUGUAAAAUAAGAUCUUACAUUUGUGUGAUUCUUCACAUAUUAAAGAGCUAUUGGGUUGGC